UGCUAGUCGCACGAGUUCAGACUCGUGGCGAAUAGCUCAGUAACACGUGGCCAAACUACCCUUCGGAACACAAUACCCUCGGGAAACUGAGGCUAAUAGUGUAUACCAUACCACCACUGGAAUGAGUGGUAUGCCAAACGCUCCGGCGCCGAAGGAUGUGGCUGCGGCCGAUUAGGUAGACGGUGGGGUAACGGCCCACCGUGCCAAUAAUCGGUAUGGGUCAUGAGAGUGAGAACCCAGAGACGGAAUCUGAGACAAGAUUCCGGGCCCUACGGGGCGCAGCAGGCGCGAAACCUUUACACUGCACGACAGUGCGAUAGGGGGAUCCCAAGUGCACAGGCAUAGCGCCUGUGCUUUUCGGUACCGUAAGGUGGUACCAGAAUAAGGGCUGGGCAAGACCGGUGCCAGCCGCCGCGGUAAUACCGGCAGCCCAAGUGAUGGCCGAUCUUAUUGGGCCUAAAGCGUCCGUAGCUGGCCGCGCAAGUCCAUCGGGAAAUCCACCUGCUCAACAGGUGGGCGCCCGGUAGAAACUGCGUGGCUUGGGACCGGAAGGCGCGACGGGUACGUCCGGGGUAGGAGUGAAAUCCCGUAAUCCUGGACGGACCGCCGAUGGCGAAAGCACGUCGCGAGGACGGAUCCGACAGUGAGGGACGAAAGCCAGGGUCUCGAACCGGAUUAGAUACCCGGGUAGUCCUGGCCGUAAACAAUGUCUGCUAGGUGUGGCUCCCACUACGAGUGGGUGCUGUGCCGUAGGGAAGCCGCUAAGCAGACCGCCUGGGAAGUACGUCCGCAAGGAUGAAACUAAAGGAAUGGC
rnacentral:rRNA from 1 species